rnacentral:rRNA from 1 species
GUGAGGAAUUUUCCGCAAUGGGCGAAAGCCUGACGGAGCAAUGCCGCGUGAAGGAUGAAGGCCUAUGGGUUGUAAACUUCUUUUCUCAGAAAAGAAUUAUGACGGUAUCUGAGGAAUAAGAAUCGGCUAACUCUGUGCCAGCAGCCGCGGUAAGACAGAGGAUGCAAGCGUUAUCCGGAAUGAUUGGGCGUAAAGCGUCUGUAGGUUGUUUAAAAAGUAUUCUGUCAAAGAUUAGGGCUUGACCCUAGAUAGUCAGAAUAAACUUUUAAGCUAGAUUUUGGUAGAGGCAGAGUGAAGUCCCUGUGGAGCUGUGAAAUGCGUAGAUAUCGAGAGGAACACCAAAGGCGAAGGCACUCUGCUGGGCCAAUACUAACACUGAGAGACGAAAGCGAGGGGAGCAAAUGGGAUUAGAAACCCCGGUAGUCC